rnacentral:rRNA from 1 species
UACGUAGGGCGCGAGCGUUGUCCGGAAUUAUUGGGCGUAAAGGGCGCGUAGGCGGCCACGCACGUCCGUUGUGAAAUCGCUCGGCUCAACUGGGCGGGGUCAGCGGAUACGGAGUGGCUGGAGCAAGCUAGGGGGCAAUGGAAUUCCCGGUGUAGUGGUGGAAUGCGUAGAUAUCGGGAGGAACACCAGUGGCGAAGGCGGUUGCCUGGAGCUUUGCUGACGCUGAUGCGCGAAAGCGUGGGGAGCGAUCCGG